rnacentral:rRNA from 1 species
GACGAACGCUGGCGGCGUGCUUAACACAUGCAAGUCGAACGAUGAAGCCGGAGCUUGCUCCGGUGGAUUAGUGGCGAACGGGUGAGUAACACGUGAGCAAUCUGCCCUUGACUCUGGGAUAACUGCGGGAAACUGUAGCUAAUACCGGAUACGACACCUUGGGGCAUCCCAGGGUGUGGAAAAAAUUUCGGUCAAGGAUGAGCUCGCGGCGUAUCAGCUAGUUGGUGAGGUAAUGGCUCACCAAGGCGACGACGGGUAGCCGGCCUGAGAGGGUGACCGGCCACACUGGAACUGAGACACGGUCCAGACUCCUACGGGAGGCAGCAGUGGGGAAUAUUGCACAAUGGGCGAAAGCCUGAUGCAGCAACGCCGCGUGAGGGAUGAAGGCCUUCGGGUUGUAAACCUCUUUUAGCAGGGAAGAAGCGAAAGUGACGGUACCUGCAGAAAAAGCCACGGCUAACUACGUGCCAGCCGCCGCCGUAA